rfam:Paenibacillus sp. IHB B 3415 contig_065, whole genome shotgun sequence.
ACAAAAAAAUCGACUCCCUUUCGGGAGCCUCUUUCAUGGGAGAGGAGAAACCGGACGAAGAGCUUAUGGGGAAACGUAAGCCUGCUCCGCGG